CAGCCAUGGGGUGAGGCACAAAGCGAACUAUUUUUUUGCCAUUUACUAAAGAAUACCGUGUGCUCUCCUCGCUUAAGUCGACAAAGUCGGAAUGGUUUUCAACAUCCCCAGAUCAGACUUG
rfam:Brassica rapa chromosome A5, whole genome shotgun sequence.